UGGGGUGUAGCUCAGUGGUAGAGCACUUGCCUAGCAUGUGUGAGGCCCUGGGUUUGAUCCUCAGCACUACAU
rnacentral:tRNA from 1 species